GCAAGUCGAGCGCACCUUCGGGUGAGCGGCGGACGGGUUAGUAACGCGUGGGAACAUACCCUUUUCUACGGAAUAGCCUCGGGAAACUGAGAGUAAUACCUUAUACGCCCUUUGGGGGAAAGAUUUAUCGGAGAAGGAUUGGCCCGCGUUAGAUUAGAUAGUUGGUGGGGUAACGGCCUACCAAGUCGACGAUCUAUAGCUGGUUUGAGAGGAUGAUC
rnacentral:rRNA from 1 species